GCUGGGCGUGGUGGCGCACGCCUGUAGUCUCAGCUGCUCGGGAGGCUGAGGCAGGAGAAUUGCUUGAACCCAGGAGGUGGAGGUUGCAGUGAGCUGAGAUCGUGCCAUUGCACUCCAGCCUGGGUGACAGAGUGAGACCCUGUCUUAA
rnacentral:SRP_RNA from 1 species